UACGGAGGGAGCUAGCGUUGUUCGGAAUUACUGGGCGUAAAGCGCACGUAGGCGGUUAUUCAAGUCAGAGGUGAAAGCCCGGGGCUCAACCCCGGAACGGCCUUUGAAACUAGAUAGCUAGAAUCUUGGAGAGGUCAGUGGAAUUCCGAGUGUAGAGGUGAAAUUCGUAGAUAUUCGGAAGAACACCAGUGGCGAAGGCGACUGACUGGACAAGUAUUGACGCUGAGGUGCGAAAGCGUGGGGAGCAAACAGG
rnacentral:rRNA from 2 species